UACAGAGGUCUCAAGCGUUGUUCGGAUUCAUUGGGCGUAAAGGGUGCGUAGGCGGCGCGGUAAGUCGGGUGUGAAAUCUUGGAGCUUAACUCCGAAACUGCAUUCGAUACUGCCGUGCUUGAGGACUGGAGAGGAGACUGGAAUUUACGGUGUAGCGGUGAAAUGCGUAGAUAUCGUAAGGAAGACCAGUGGCGAAGGCGGGUCUCUGGACAGUUCCUGACGCUGAGGCAACGAAGGCCAGGGGAGCAAACGGG
rnacentral:rRNA from 1 species